CCUACGGGAGGCAGCAGUGGGGAAUAUUGCACAACGGCCGCAAGCCUGAUGCAGCCAUGCCGCAAGCCGAAGAAGGCCUUCGGGUUGUAAAGCACUUCAGCGAGGAGGAAGGGCUGAACUCAAUCGAGCAGCCAUGACGCACCGCAGAAGAGCCCGCCC
rnacentral:rRNA from 1 species